GAUGAACGCUGGCGGCGUGCCUAAUACAUGCAAGUCGAGCGAACAGAUGAGGAGCUUGCUCCUCUGACGUUAGCGGCGGACGGGUGAGUAACACGUGGAUAACCUACCUAUAAGACUGGGAUCACUUCGGGAAACCGGAGCUAAUACCGUAUAAUAUAUUGAACCGCAUGGUUCAAUAGUGAAAGACGGUCUUGCUGUCACUUAUAGAUGGAUCCGCGCCGCAUUAGCUAGUUGUUAAGGUAACGGCUUACCAAGGCAACGAUGCGUAGCCGACCUGAGAGGGUGAUCGGCCACACUGGAACUGAGACACGGUCCAGACUCCUACGGGAGGCAGCAGUAGGGAAUCUUCCGCAAUGGGCGAAAGCCUGACGGAGCAACGCCGCGUGAGUGAUGAAGGUCUUCGGAUCGUAAAACUCUGUUAUUAGGGAAGAACAAAUGUGUAAGUAACUAUGCACGUCUUGACGGUACCUAAUCAGAAAGCCACGGCUAACUACGUG
rnacentral:rRNA from 1 species